rnacentral:rRNA from 1 species
ACUCCUACGGGAGGCAGCAGUGGGGAAUAUUGCACAAUGGGCGCAAGCCUGAUGCAGCCAUGCCGCGUGUAUGAAGAAGGGCCUUCGGGUUGAUAAAGUACUUUCAGCAGGUGAGGAAGGUGGAUAUGUUAAUAGCAUAUUUAUUUUGACGUUUAGCUGCAGAAGAAGCACCGGCUAACUCCGUGCCAGCAGCCGCGGUAAUACGGAGGGUGCGAGCGUUAAUCGGAAUUACUGGGCGUAAAGCGCAUGCAGGUGGUUUGUUAAGUCAGAUGUGAAAGCCCGGGGCUCAACCUCGGAAUUGCAUUUGAAACUGGCAAACUAGAGUACUGUAGAGGGGGGUAGAAUUUCAGGUGUAGCGGUGAAAUGCGUAGAGAUCUGAAGG